rnacentral:tRNA from 1 species
UGUGGCUAAUUGAAAAAAAACCUAUAUAUAUAGCCAAAAAUGGGAGGAAAAUGUCAGGUUCAUAACCUGAAGGUCGUAGGUUCAAAUCCUACCCCACAACCA